rnacentral:rRNA from 1 species
AUGUGUCGCAUCACAGCCAUUCAUUCCAACAACGCCGCACUCCUUCCAAUUCACAUCAAAAACGUCGCACAUGAGCUAUUGACCCGCACGUUACUCACCGCUGUCCGCCCCGUCCAUGUGGCCGUGGAAGACGCCUCCCUCGCCCGCCUCGCCCUCGCCGGGCCCAAUGGCACCAGGCUCUCUUACGAUGUGUCCCUUGCUGUCUCCGUGCACAACCGCAACUGGGCCAUGCGCGCCGUGCUCGGGGCUGACGCGCCGCUCGACGCUGAGCUCUUCUUCGCCGGCGAGCACUUCGCCCGCGUCAGGAUCCAGGGGAGCUCGCGCCGGUGUAUCUGUCCGGGAAAUACCGAGGUCUACAAUGUCGUGGCGGCGGGCGAGGGCACCGCGCCGCUGAGGAGUGCCGGGGUGGCAACGCUCGUGAAGGAGAGUGUGGCGGGUGGCGGGUUCCGGCUGGAGCUGAAGCUUGCCGGCGAGGUCAGGUACCCGCCGCACCGCACGCGCAGGCUGGAGGCCACCUGCCCGCUCAAGCUGCCUCUGGCGUCGCCCGCGGGGCAGGCAAGGUUCAAGAAGGUCGAGUGCGUGGUGUAA